rnacentral:rRNA from 1 species
UACGUAGGGUGCAAGCGUUAAUCGGAAUUACUGGGCGUAAAGCGUGCGCAGGCGGUUAUGCAAGACAGAGGUGAAAUCCCCGGGCUCAACCUGGGAACUGCCUUUGUGACUGCAUAGCUAGAGUACGGUAGAGGGGGAUGGAAUUCCGCGUGUAGCGGUGAAAUGCGUAGAUAUGCGGAGGAACACCGAUGGCGAAGGCAAUCCCCUGGACCUGUACUGACGCUCAUGCACGAAAGCGUGGGGAGCAAACAGG